rnacentral:misc_RNA from 1 species
AGUUUUCUAAUUGUGAAAUAAUCGCUGUUGAAGUAUUUCUAGAAUGUUGUAACUAAUUGACAUACAGUCCAGGGCUGACAAAAUGCUGGACAAACUGAGCAAGGUGCAUAAAGGAGCUAGAGGAAUUGCUAUGGCAACCGUUGCCUGUUAUGGUCAGCGGCUAAAGAAAAGAGAACAACUUUUGCGCCGCAUAGAAGGCACAUUGAAUUGCACGAAUCGCAAAGAUGACUCUCUAUUUUGAUACAAAAAUCGAGUUCCUCGACUCGGAUGCGGUGAGCACCAUAAGCAGCUGGCAUCCAAAUGAACCGCUCUUUGCCGUUGCCUCCUACAGUCACGAGCGCGGCGGAAGUGUCACCAUAUUCGCGGAUACGGGUGAACCGCAACGGGAUGUCACAUAUCCAGUUCAUGCCACUUCACAGGCAACGGCUCUGUGUUGGCAUCCGGAGAAGGCGCUCCUGGCCACUGGGUGGGAGCAUGGCGACAUACAUGUGUGGUUUGCCGGCCAUCGUGAGUUCGCAACCGUUAGUGGUCCCCACAAGGCGCCCAUUGUGCUGCUAGAGUUCAGCGAACAAGGCGGCCGCAUGGUUACAGCGGAUGCCAUGGGAUUGGUAACCGGUUGGCGCUGUGAUGGCCAAUACCAGUUUCUCACCAUGUUCUCGCAUGAUCUACGCGAGGCUCUGCUAUUGAUCUGCUUUCGCCGCACUGUCGAGAGCGAGGUGCGUGAGGAGAUGGCCAGUCUGGCCAAGGCAGCGGUAGCUGGGGACGAGAAUGCCCUGGACACGCUCACCAACUGGCGGCCACGCACUGCCGCACGUGGUCAUGCAGGUGUGCAGGACAACCACUGCUUCUAUGCGUGCACGCAGGGUGGUGUCGCCUACUACAUAAACCAGGGCGGCACCUGCACCGAGGUGAUGAAGAGCGGCCCUCACCAGCCAUCCAUUCUGCAGAUGCUGUGGCAUCCCAAAAAAGAUGCAGUUAUCUGUCUGAUGGAUGACUUGACCAUUACGCUGUACCUUGUGGAAUCCACGGGCAUUCUGACAGAACUGGAUCGCGUUAAGUUGAGUGGACGUGGCACUAACAAAAACGGUGCCAUUGCCUGGGCAGGCAACAGCUUGGCCAUUAUCACCGGCGAUCUGACGGUGCGCAUUUGGGACAUCGAACGCAGUGAUAAUUAUCUGCUCAAGAUGAAUUUACCCAGCUACAGUCUUGCACGCAUGAGCUCAUCUAUGUCGUCUAGUCAGAGCAAUCUAGUAAUGACAGCCACCUCUUCAUCCAACAAUAAUGCCUUCUUUAGCCAGGAUAGCAGUGGCGAGAGCAACGUUAAUAAUUUGCCCAGGAAGAUAUCGAAAUAUUCGAAGCUCUCCACCGGCGAAUCGUUCACCUGCCUUGCUUACAGCACCAGCAAUCAAACGCUGUGCGCUGCAACGAAUCUGGGAAAUCUGUAUACAUGGAAGCGUUCGGUGAGCUGCUUUGUCAGCGCUCCCGAGGAUGCCUGGCAGUUGGGUAACAUAUCAACGCUGUCGCGACAGGGCGCAGUCAAGAGCUGCACUUGGGGCUACAAUGAGCUAACGAAGCCCUGCAUUCUCGUCAAUUGUUUGUCGAGUGUUUUUAUGCUCAAGGAGCAGCCACUUCUGGCGAGUCACACGCGAACCUUGUGGGCACUGCAGUGCUCCGCCAAGAGUGUCCAGUUGACGCACUGCAGCGGACGACAUUGCACGGUUCAAGCGGAUUUUGCAGUGACGGCCUUGGCUCUCAACGAACUCAGCUUGGUUGUGAGCAAUGGUCGCUCCAUCUCCUCAUACAGCCUGCAAAAGAUCGAAAAGAGUUUGGAUGAGUUUGAUGAAAUACUGGAGGCAUCCGGCGCUGGUUCCGCUGCCUCCGUAAAGAGCUCCCCGGCGCUGAAUGUGAAGCUCAUGCAAACGUUUCAAGCCGAGUGUUUGACUCUCUGUUUGCACAAUCAGAACAUCUUCUGUUUGACCAGCAGCGAUAUUGUCAUCUAUUCCGUUGGAGGCGUCGUUCUGCACCGGAUUCUCGGCAAUGAUAUUGAGGGCAAGAUCAUUGGAAUGGAUUUGACAGCCUGCUAUUUGACCGUAUUUACCAUGAAUGGUUAUGUGAAAGCCUAUGAUGUGACCCGACAUGAUCCCAAGCUAUUGUUUCCCAGCAAAUCGGGUCACGAGAUAUUCGAUGACUUUGGCGAAUUUAUUCUGGCCAAGUGCAAUAGUCUGGGCAGUCACCUGGCAUUGGUCAUUGCCAAUAGCAGCUUUACGCCCUCCGCUACCGUCUACUGCUGGGACUUUGAGCGUAACAAUCUCUUCGAUCAUCAGCUGGGUAAGGACGAGCAGGAAACGGAGAAAGAUGCAGGCGCCAAGUCAAGUUUGCCUGUACGCAUAGUCUGGGACACGGAGGAGCCACGUCUGCUGGCCGUCGAGAUCAAAUCGAUGAUUAUGUUGACACAAAAACCGAGUCGCCAGCAGCCUACUCACUACGUGGAGUCCCAGGUGCUCGUCAUGUUCUAUUCAGAGAAGAGCGAAGGCAAACUGAACGUGCUGGAAACUCAGGAUCUCUCUACCGGAUCACAACUUUUGAAUCUCUGUGUGCCUAGCGUUGUCUGUCUGCAGGUGAACACUGUGAAGGAGCAGCCGCUGAAGGAUUUCACGGAUCUGCAGCAAUGUGAUGCCAACACGAGGAGACAGGUGCUCAAUUUUAGUUUGCAUGUGGCCGAGGGUCAAAUGGAUUUGGCUUUUCGUUGCGUACGCUCGAUCCAAUCGAAGGUGAUUUGGACGAAUCUGGCCAAGAUGUGCGUGCACACGAGUCGCCUGGAUGUGGCCAAGGUGUGCAUGGGUCACUUGGAGCAGGCGCGAUCGGUGCGUGCCCUGCGGCAGGCAAUGGAAGAUGAUGAUCUUGAACCGGAGGCUAAGGUUGCUGUACUCGCCAUCGAGCUGGGCAUGGUCGAGGAGGCUAAACAGCUAUAUAAACGCUGCAAGCGUUUCGAUCUCCUCAACAAGCUGCUCCAAGCCACCGGGCAGCUGGAUGAGGCGCUUCAGGUAGCGGAAUCCGAGGAUCGAAUACAUCUGAAGCACACUUAUUAUCAGAAGGCGCAGGCACUGCGUGAUCGUGGUGACAUCCAGGGUGCUCUGGAGUUCUACGAGAAGACCCAGAAUCCGGUGCAGAAUAUCACACAACUAUUGCUGGAGAACCCCAUGGCCAUGAAGCGCUAUAUACAGACGACCACCGACCCGAAGCUGCUCAAGUGGUGGGGCCAGUAUGUAGAGAGCUCUGGGGAUAUGGAUGCGGCUCUGGCAGUCUACAACAAAGCCGAGGAUUGGUUUUCGCAAGUAAAUAUAAAGUUGUGAAAAUGUAGAGACACCUCCAAAUAUAUUCUCAAUUGCACAGCAAAUAGAGAUCAAGAAUCCUCCUUUGUUAAGAUACUCUGCUAUCUGGGCAAAAUAUCGAAAGCGGAUGCAAUAGCUCGGCAGUCUGGAG